UGGCUUUACCAAAAAAAAAAAAAGCGCGCCAGCCCAACCCCACUAUUUCUUCUUCGCACAACUUCUAGAGGCUGUGGCGAGGGUGUAACGCUUCGAGCAAUGUGAUUCUCUCCGAUGGAUGCCCACUCCGCAUGAAGGCCCGAUGAUCGAGGGCCACCGUCCACCGUCGACGUCGGUCGGCCAAGGAAGAGUUCGAUCGAUGCUGAUGAUGUCGGAGAGGAUGAGACCAACGCCAAUCCUCUCCGAUGGAUGCCCGCUCUGCGUGAAGGCCCAGCAACCUAGGGCCACCAUCGAUGCUGGUC
rnacentral:lncRNA from 1 species